CCGUUUACCACCCCAGUAAUUCCCAAAUCCACCCCCCACCCAGUCCCCUCCUUCCUUCCCAAAUUCCUUACCCUAGCGCCAGCAGCCGCAGGCAGGCAGCCUCCUUCUGCGGCGCUGCCGUCACCUCAGUGAUUCAGUCUCCGAGAAUCCUUCAGUUGUUUGUUCUCAGAUUACUCUCCAUUCGUUCCCAAAUCCAAGCUUGAUUGCUAGGACAACCAGCACUACCUGCACCGGCUGAGUCACGUCCCCACUUGAAACUCAACUUCAGCUCAGCUCUAACUCUCAUUCUCAUUUCGUUCUCAAAAAAUCAAGAUUAAAUGGAAGGAUUGCAAGUAUCAGAUGCUAACCUGGUGGUAUAUGUACACCCAUCCAAGGCGGCUAAAGUUUCUGAGGCCAUCCUCCGCGAACUCAGUUCUUUGCUUUUCAAGUUCAGUGAAAUUUUUGAUGGAGUUGUAUUGGCUUAUGAUGUUCACAUUCUAGAUAAAAAAGCAAAGAUUCUUCCUGGGGUUCAUCCCUAUUUUGGUGUGAGACUGAAGACAAAAUUGUUGCUUUUCUCUCCUAAGCCAGACAUGCUUUUAGAAGGGAAAGUAGUGAAGCUUGCUCAAGAAUCCAUUCAUGUUAUUGUUCUUGGUUUUUCAUCUGCAAUCAUAAUAGAGGAAGACAUUCGUGAAGAAUUCAAAUAUAAAAUUAAACAUGGUGAGGGAGUAUUUGCCAGUACAUCUCACAAGCGACACACUAUAAAGGUUGGAACUGUGAUACGUUUCGUAGUCAAAAGUUUUGAUGUGGAAAUACUACAUUUUUCUGGGUCGCUGGUUCCAGCUCACACAGGAAGCAUCAGCUGGUUGGAAAAAAAUUUAGAGAAUGAUUUACAAGUUGACAGGACUAUCAAGAAGCGGAAAGAAAGGGAUGGAAGAAUUGGGAUGAAGGAGGAUGUUGUGAUGGUAGGUGAAGAAACCUUUUUGUUGAAUAUUGACCAUAAAGUUAAGAAGUCGAGGAGUCAGGGAACUGCCAGGGAGUCUUGAAUAUUGGUGCAGAGUCCCAAUGCUCCUAAGUCAUUCUCUUGUUUCCCUGAAUGGCUGAUGGGAUCGCAGUUCCAAAAUGAGUCCAGGUACUGAGAGUGUACGAUUCUAUAUCCGAGGGCGUGUGUUUAUCGCUUGUCACGUAGGCAAGAGUGUCCGGCUCUAUAUCCGAGGGCGUGAGCCUAUUCCGGCAAAUCAGGCCGAAGGGUGUGGAUCCACCAGUUAGUGCCGGUACGAUGCCAUGGAAGUCGAGGAUUAGCCAUGUGCCGGUGGCGCCGUGCUUCGCAGAUGGCUACGGGCCAACGCUAGAUUGUCGUGGACCGGCUUCGGGCCGAUGGGUGUGACGACACCGGCUAACUGAUCAUGUGUGUGUAUUGUGACGGGGCUGCAUAUAAAUGGCCGUCGUAUAUGUCCUUCGAGUAACUGGAACUAGCGUCCUGGUGUAGGGAGCGUAGUGACCGGUGUACUGCGUUAGCGCUUGGGGUUUACUGAUUUCUUCCCACUACCCGUCCACCUCCAGUUUGAUGACAAUGGUGUGAUGAAUUGGGGAAAGAAAAUUUUCGGAUGUUGGGUUAAAAAAAAAAAAUUCGUCCCUUGCUCAUGGUGAUGCAACAGCUGUUUCCGGCAGGGGCACCCUCGGUGCUGUUUGACAUCUCAUUAAAGAGAGUGAGUCAUCCAUCCAAUUCCUAUGUUCACAGAGGGGCUCUUAGUUUUAGUUUUACUGCUGGAGCAAAUUUGAGGCAAAAUGAUAUGAUUGACGCAUAGAACCUGAAAAUAAAAUAUAAAAUUAUAAGCUUUUAUGUGAAUUAUAGAGGGUUGUACAAAAGUGCUCUUUUACAGUUUUCUUGCUUUGCCAUGAUUUAAUGUUUUACUUUUUAUGGCAAGGCAUGAUAAUCUCAUGUUUGGAUUGUAGCGUCUACGGACCAACCCUUGAACAGAAAUGAAGCCGUUCAAUUUUGUUGGCUGCUGCAUUUCUCUUUUCCCUCGAUUUGGGUAAAGAUUUGUAUGAUUAGAAUGCUAGUGUAAUUGGGAAUGCACUGCUAUAUUCCUUUAUUAUUUUGGGAAAA